CUUUAUGCCAACUUUUCAUACAUUUUGUAAAUACGUCCUGGGCACCACAUGCCAAGGACUUUUCUGCCUGUACUUAUCAAUAUGUGCAAGUAAACAUGUGAACAGAA